rnacentral:lncRNA from 1 species
GAUGACGCGGUGGGACCCGUUGAAGGUGGUUGUGGUGAUGAUAUGAUGAUGGGACGUUACAGAAGCACUGUGAUGGAUGGGCUGGAUGGGGCCCACUUCUGUGACAGGCCCAGGAAUCUCUGUCGUUAUGUCCUCAGAUACACAGGACAGAGUUCCCUCUUCGUUUGUCCGUUUCGGCUGAGUUGACCCGUUGACUCGGCCUGGUUCCCUCUUUCACUCGCUGCCACGUGGAGGGC